CUCCGUCGCCCAAUGGACGUUAAGUUCCCGGGCGGCGGCCAGAUCGUGGGUGGAGUCUACUUGUUGCCGCGCAGGGGCCCGAGAUUGGGUGUGCGCGCGACGAGGAAGACGUCCGAGCGAUCCCAGCCCCGAGGGA
rfam:Hepacivirus hominis isolate 1316-1 polyprotein gene, complete cds